GUGCUCACUUUGGCAGAACAUAUACUAAAAUUGGAACGAUACAGAGAAGAUUAGCAUGGCCCCUGUGCAAGGAUGACACGCAAAUUCGUGAAGUGUUCCAUUAAAAA
rnacentral:snRNA from 1 species